rnacentral:lncRNA from 1 species
GCAGCACACUCCAGUUCGCCGUCGUUCCAGUUCGGCUCGCCGCACUCGACCGCCAUCGCCGCCUCUAUCACUCCAGUCCGGCUCGCCGCACUCCACCGCCGCCGUCGUUCAGCCAUGAGCUUGGAUGGAUCUGGAUCUGGAAGCUUGUGAAUUUAUUUUUGAAUUUGAUUUGAAAACACUAGAUCCAUGGAUCUGGACCCGUGGAUCCGUGGAUCUGGCGGAUCUGGAUCUGGAUCCAAAAUUUUCAGAUCCGC